UUAGUAUAUUGGUAGGGGAGAGUUCUGUAAGCCGAUGAAGGUGAAUUGAGAAUUUUGCUGGAGGUAUCAGAAGUGCGAAUGCUGACAUGAGUAACGUAAAAUAAGUGAGAUUCUUAUUUGCCGAAAACCCAAGGGUUCCUACGCAAUGUUAAUCAACGUAGGGUAAGCCGGCCCCUAAGUCGUAGCUGAAGAGUGAAGUCGAUGGGAAACAGGUUAAUAUUCCUGUGCUGCUUAUA
rnacentral:rRNA from 1 species